AUGCUGUGUGAAUACCAUAGGAAUUCAGGAUAGUUGGGGACUGUUCUGGAGUCAGAUGGGAACUUGAUGUUUGCUGAAGAUAAUGCUGUACUCGUUUGCUGUAUUUGUGUCUUCUGAAACCUGGGGAAUAGGCACCUGACUCACAUGUACUGAUGAACCAGCUUCCUGGGUACGGUUGCUACUGGACACCUGGGUGAUAUCUUUGUCCUUGCACCAGAGUACUGCUUCUAAAUAUGUCCUUUGUGGAGCUGGAGUCCUGCCACAUAAAGAAGACUCACUCUCAAGUUUCAUGUUCAGCUUGAAUAUAGUGAGGUGAAGGGGGAGAGUUUAUCUUAAGAAAGCUGCCCGUGUUUUGGAGGGCUUCUUAAGAUUAAGCAAACUUGACUGUUAAAAUAUUUUAAUUAGCACUUAAUUAACCUCACUGUAUUUGGGAGUUUGAGAAUGAUUUGUCUUCUCCUCUGGCCCUGAGAAAAUUUGUCUCUCUGUAGUGAUUAGUAACACAAAGUAAUGUCAAAUGUUCAUUUUUGUAUCAAAUACGUGGCAGAAACCACUUGUGAAAAUGGCCAUGGGCAGAUGAUUUCUUUGUGCAAUUAAAACUAGGAAUAUUUGUUUGUUUGUGUGCAGCUGUAUAUUUUGAAGAGGAUAAAGAAUAUCGUAGGGCAUAAU